GAUCCAUCUUCAGCGCUCCUCCUCCCACUAUAAAUCCCAGACGCUCAGCUAUGGAAGUCCUCAGCUAUAAUCAGCAAGUCGUCGAGAUACGCAUAGACGCAUUUCAACCGGAAUCACCUUAUCGACCAGUCUACAUAGGCGUUGUUCGGGGUUGCAGAGGCCAAAGGGCAUCAUUCGGAACUGGUACAGGGGCCGUCCCGGCACAGUGAACGCCGUAUAUGGUCGACUCUGCUCGUCCAGCUCGAUUUGCCAAAAAGCGAAUUUUAAGUCGACGCUGGAGAUAUAUAUAGUCUGAUCGAGACGCGACAAAAUCCCCUCGAUGCUAGGAAGUGGGCCCCUUCUGUGAGCGUGAUUCGCCUGCUUGGAUCGCACCC